rnacentral:rRNA from 1 species
CAGCCGCCACGGGAAUACGGAGGGAGCUAGCGUUGUUCGGAAUUACUGGGCGUAAAGCGCGCGUAGGCGGUUACUCAAGUCAGAGGUGAAAGCCCGGGGCUCAACCCCGGAAUUGCCUUUGAAACUAGGUGACUAGAAUCUUGGAGAGGUCAGUGGAAUUCCGAGUGUAGAGGUGAAAUUCGUAGAUAUUCGGAAGAACACCAGUGGCGAAGGCGACUGACUGGACAAGUAUUGACGCUGAGGUGCGAAAGCGUGGGGAGCAAACAGGAUUAGAUACCCGUGUAGUCCCUGUCUCUUAUAC